UCCUUUCCUCCGCCUCAGUUUGGGGCGGGUGAGGAGAAUGGCUUCAGAGAUGGAGUUGUCGCUGGAGGCAAGCUUCUCGUCCAGCGGCACGGGGUCGGGGACCUCACGGCUUCUGCCUCCAGCCCGCUCCCGCAUCUUCAAGAUUAUCGUGAUCGGCGACUCCAAUGUGGGCAAGACGUGCCUGACCUAUCACUUUUGCGCUGGUGGCUUCCCCGACCGCACCGAGGCCACUAUAGGGGUGGAUUUCCGAGAACGAGCGGUGGAUAUUGAUGGAGAGCGCAUCAAGAUUCAGUUAUGGGACACAGCAGGACAAGAACGAUUCACAAAGAGCAUGGCACAACACUACUACCGAAACGUUCAUGCUGUUGUCUUCGUGUAUGACAUGACCAACAUGGCUAGUUUUCGUAGCCUGCCAUCUUGGAUAGAAGAAUGCAAACAACAUUUGCUAGCCAGUGAUAUACCACGGAUUCUUGUUGGAAAUAAAUGUGACUUGAGAAGUGCCAUUCAAGUACCCACAGACUUGGCACAAAAAUUUGCUGACACACACAGUAUGCCUUUGUUUGAAACCUCUGCUAAAAACCCCAAUGAUAAUGACCAUGUGGAAGCUAUAUUUAUGACCUUGGCUCAUAAGCUUAAGAGCCACAAACCAUUAAUGCUUAGUCAACCCCCUGAUAAUGGAAUUAUCCUGAAGCCUGAACCAAAGCCUGCAAUGACGUGCUGGUGCUAAAUAACAGUCUUUAUGAUGCUAUCUAAUUUUGACUAAAGAAAUACUUGGGAGGUAUGACAGUGAUAAGUCAUAAGAUUUGAUCUCAAAUGUAUGGGAUCAUCCUGGCACCUUACUAUUUAUCAUUGUCAUGCUUACUUUUGUACUUUGUAUCGACUUAAGUUUGUCAUUGUGACAACACAAGGAAAAAGUUGGUUUUCAGGUGAGGUUGAAAUGAAGCAAAGGUAGGGUGACUCAGCAUAUCUUUUCAUCGAGAGCCCAGUGAAGAAACCCUCAAAUGAGAGUGUGAUGGGAUGUUAAGAGUCAGCAGCUGUUCAGUCCUGUAUUUCUAGGAUUGAAAAAAUCUAUUAAGAAUUUAGUACAUACCUACUGGUAUGCCUUUUAAAUGGAGGGUAUCCUCAGUAGGAUAAAAACUGGUAUUUGCCUCUCCCCACAGAGUUCUUUAUUUUGUAUUACUAAUGUUUUUAAUUGCAUUAUUAUUAGCACAUUUUAGAGCCAAGGCUUUAGUA